rnacentral:rRNA from 1 species
GAUGAACGCUGGUGGCGUGCCUAAUACAUGCAAGUCGAGCGAAUGGAUUAAGAGCUUGCUCUUAUGAAGUUAGCGGCGGACGGGUGAGUAACACGUGGGUAACCUGCCCAUAAGACUGGGAUAACUCCGGGAAACCGGGGCUAAUACCGGAUAACAUUUUGAACCGCAUGGUUCGAAAUUGAAAGGCGGCUUCGGCUGUCACUUAUGGAUGGACCCGCGUCGCAUUAGCUAGUUGGUGAGGCAACGGCUCACCAAGGCAACGAUGCGUAGCCGACCUGAGAGGGUGAUCGGCCACACUGGGACUGAGACACGGCCCAGACUCCUACGGGAGGAAGCAGUAGGGAAUCUUCCGCAAUGGACGAAAGUCUGACGGAGCAACGCCGCGUGAGUGAUGAAGGCUUUCGGGUCGUAAAACUCUGUUGUUAGGGGAGAACAAGUGCUAGCUGAAUAAGCUGGCACCUUGACGGUACCUAACCAGAAAGCCACGGCUAACUACGUGCCAGCCGCCGCGGUAA